rnacentral:rRNA from 1 species
UGGAUUAGUGGCGAACGGGUGAGUAACACGUGAGUAACCUGCCUCCACUUUGGGAUAACUCCGAGAAAUCGGGGCUAAUACUGGAUAUGACCUUGGCCCGCAUGGUUUGGUGGAAAGUUUUCGGUGGUGGAUGGGCUCGCGGCCUAUCAGUUUGUUGGUGAGGUAGUGGCUCACCAAGGCGAUGACGGGUAGCCGGCCUGAGAGGGCGACCGGCCACACUGGGACUGAGACACGGCCCAG